UUUAACUUAGUUUAACCAAAACAAAAGCUUGUCGAGCUUUAGACACAAAUCAAUUUUGUAGUUAAAU
rnacentral:tRNA from 1 species